AAGUCGUAACAAGGUCUCCGUUGGUGAACCAGCGGAGGGAUCAUUACAGAGUUUAACAACUCCCAAACCCAUGUGAACUUACCUUUGUUGCCUCGGCAAGGAGGGUGCCUACCCGGUAACGAGCUGCCCUGUAGCGAGUUACCCUGUAGCCGCCCGCCCCUGCCGGUGGACCAUUAAACUCUUGUUAUUCUAUAGAUAUCUGAGCGUCUUAUUUUAAUAAGUCAAAACUUUCAACAACGGAUCUCUUGGUUCUGGCAUCGAUGAAGAACGCAGCGAAAUGCGAUACGUAAUGUGAAUUGCAGAAUUCAGUGAAUCAUCGAAUCUUUGAACGCACAUUGCGCCCAUUAGUAUUCUAGUGGGCAUGCCUGUUCGAGCGUCAUUUCAUACCUUAAGCCUAGCUUAGUGUUGGGAACCUACAUCUGGGAGGCGAGUUACCCUGUAACGAGCCUACCCUGUAGCUCCUGAAAUUCAACGGCGGAUCCGCAGUAUCCUCUGAGCGUAGUAAUUCAUUAUCUCGCUUUGGUAAGGUGCUGUGUAUCCAGCCGAUAAACACCCAAAUUUUUAAUGGUUGACCUCGGAUCAGGUAGGAAUACCCGCUGAACUUAA
rnacentral:rRNA from 1 species